rnacentral:rRNA from 1 species
GGCUUACGCCUGCCAGCUUCUCAAACAACAAGUUGCGCUUUGCCGACCUGGUGGUUAUGGCGGGGUGGCUGCACCCGUUCCCUUUCCGAACACGGCCGUGAAACGCCCCUGCGC